GUUCUUAUCGAGGGAUCAGCAUGAAUGAGGAAGAGUGCGAAACCGGCGCGUAAUUAACAAUUAAAGAGAUACGUGUCUCUGGCGUGGUUGCAACUGGCACUCGUUUGCAAUCUUCGAAGAGCCAGAGAAGACAGCCUUUCGCGUAUCGUUUGAGACACGAAUUUAAUUAACCAUCGCACAGGCAAAUUACCGUGGUCGUCGUUUUUCGAUUACACGCGAUUCCUCGUAAUUCGAUCUAUCUUUCGACGAGUGAUACAAGCAGAAAAGGAACGCGUCUUCUUUUUGGAACUCACCUGUUUGAGCAACUGCCUACGCUUCGCUCUCACGUCCUUCUUGCAACUCACACCUUCUGGAACAAACGUAACAAAUGUGCAGGAAUCCCUAAGUGAGGAGUAUGAAAAUGGGAUUAGCCAGGCAAGUUGAGUAGAAAUUUGGAGAUACGAUUUCAGGGCUACGAAAUUUUAACGAGAACGAUUAAAGGGGAACAAAGAUGGAGAAAAAUGAACCGGUAUCGCGUGGAUCGUGGAUAGGCGUGGCAAACAUUUUAACAAGGACGUUCCCGUUAACGAGCGGCUCAAUUAAUAUCGAUAUGAGUGCAGGAUGACCUGAAACCGUGUGAUUCGCUUGGUUGACGAGCAACGCCACCCACGUCCUUCGUGUCCACUUGCACAGCCUACGAUCCAUUGCACCAUGGCCAAACGUUAGGUGGAGAACCUAAUUAAAAUCGAAGACGAACAGACAAAUGUGUGAAUUUAUC
rnacentral:misc_RNA from 1 species